GCCUCCCAAAGUGCUGGGAUUACAGGCUGAGUCAUGCCACCCAGCUGAUGUUGAUCUUUUCUAUCCAUGAGCAUAAAGUAAUUUUCAAUAUAUUUGUGUCAUAUCUGACUUAUUUAAGCAGUGUUUUGUAAUUCUUGUAGAGAUCUUUCACUUGCCUGAUCAGCUGUAUUCCUGGAUGUUUUAUUAUUUUUGUGGCAAUUGUGAAUGGGAUUGUGUUUUUAUUUUUGUUUGUUUAUUUGUUUUUUGAGAUGGAGUUUCGCUCUUGUUGCCCAGGCUGGAGUGCAAUGGUGCAAUCUUGGCUCACUGCAACCUCGACCUCCCGGGUUCAAACGAUUCUCCUGCCUUAGCCUGCCAAGUAGCUGGGAUUACAGGCCUGUGCCACCACGCCUGGCUAAUUUUUUGUUUAGGAGAGACGGGGUUUCACCAUGUUAGUCAGGCUGGUCUUGAACUCCUGACCUCAGGUGUUAGGCGAUCCACCCACCUCGGCCUCCCAAAGUGCUGGGAUUUCAGGCAUGAGCCACGACGCCUGGACAACUUUGUCAUUUUUAGUGAUACUCAGAUAUGUUCCAUUGCAGAAAAUUGUAUUUUAUUAGUUAUUAUUGUGUUUUUUGGACUCAUCUACAUGGGAUGAGUCCUAAGAGAUUCAGUUUAAAAAAGUUUUUUUAGGUACAUUAAGGACAUUAUUUAUCUUUUGUAACCUGUUCAUGUCUAUGUCUGUUACUUGCAUCAGGCAGUGACUCAAACAAUUCUCAAAAAACAGAAAGUAUAUUUCUCUUAAAGUUGGCUUAUUAAGGGACUAUGAGGUGAUCCAAUUCAAUAAGAACCAAACUAGACCUACUAAGAUUAGUCAGGACUAUCAGAGAAUUUUUCAAAUACAUUCACCAUUAAUCCAGAGAUAAUUGUGAAUCCCAACUUUUACCCUAAGAAAAAUUAUUGCAAUGUAGUAAAGUUGAUUCUGUCUUUAAAAAGAAAGAGGAGCACAAUGAGAUUUCCUGUGGCCAGUUGAAGUUCAUGAAGUUUGUCAAAGAAUUUCACAUACAUAGUAAAUCUUCUGAUAGCAUUUAGUUCCAAUCACAAUAAAUUAUACUUGUCUCUGUCUUCUAUAAUUAAUCUCUUCUCUCUUUAAAAAACUCUGUAUUUUCUGUAUAAAAAUAGUGAUUAUUGGCUGUGCACGGUGGCUCACGCCUGUAAUCCCAGCACUUUGGCAGGCCAAGGUGGGUGGAUUACGAGGUCA
rnacentral:lncRNA from 1 species